rnacentral:rRNA from 1 species
UGGGGAAUUGUUCGCAAUGGGCGCAAGCCUGACGACGCAACGCCGCGUGGGGGAUGAAGGUCUUCGGAUUGUAAACCCCUGUUGGGUGGGACGAACACUUCCGUGGUGAAUAUCCACGGGAGCUGACGGUACCCGCAGAAUAAGCCCCGGCUAACUUCGUGCCAGCAGCCGCGGUAAUACGAAGGGGGCUAGCGUUGUUCGGAAUUACUGGGCGUAAAGGGCGCGUAGGCGGUCCUGAUCGUCGGAUGUGAAAGGCCUGGGCUCAACCUGGGAAUGGCAUCCGAUACGGCGGGACUGGAGUGUGGGAGAGGUUGGUGGAAUUCCCAGUGUAGAGGUGAAAUUCGUAGAUAUUGGGAAGAACACCGGUGGCGAAGGCGGCCAACUGGACCACAACUGACGCUGAGGCGCGAAAGCGUGGGGAGCAAA